rnacentral:rRNA from 1 species
CGGACGGGUGAGUAACACGUGGAUAACCUACCUAUAAGACUGGGAUAACUUCGGGAAACCGGAGCUAAUACCGGAUAAUAUAUUGAACCGCAUGGUUCAAUAGUGAAAGACGGUUUUGCUGUCACUUAUAGAUGGAUCCGCGCCGCAUUAGCUAGUUGGUAAGGUAACGGCUUACCAAGGCAACGAUGCGUAGCCGACCUGAGAGGGUGAUCGGCCACACUGGAACUGAGACACGGUCCAGACUCCUACGGAGGCAGCAGCU